GCCAGGUGCGGUGGCGUGUACCUGUAGUCCCAGCUACCCAGAAGGCUGAGGUGGGAGGAUCACUUGAGCCUAGGAGUUCUGGGCUGUAGGGCACUAUGCCAAUCGGGUGUCCGCACUAAGUUCGGCAUCAAUAUGGUAACCUCCCGGGAGCGGGGGACCACCAGGUUGCCUAAGGAGGGGUGAAUCGACCCAGGUCAGAAAUGGAACAGGUCAAAAACUCCCAUGCUAAUCAGUAGUGGGAUCGCGCCUGUGAAUAGCCAUUGCACUCCAGCCUGGGCAACACAGCGAGACCCCACCUCUU
ensembl:misc_RNA Metazoa_SRP Metazoan signal recognition particle RNA